UUUUCUUUGGAUUUCAGGCGGAAAAACUAGAUGGCGUUGAUGUGCGUCUAUGAUUAAUAUUACGAGUGACAAGUUAAAUGGGUGUUUGUUACGUUUAUAAAUGUUUAGUGUUUCAAAGGAUUUUUCGUCAAAAAAAUUGCGAGUUUUGCCUUGUCAGUUGCUGCUAUCAAAAAUGUACCACAAGGUAUGCUGACACUUUAAGAAGACCAACAGUGACCACUAUGCCUGAGACAUGAACUAUCACCAUGCUGUUCAGAGUCCUCGUCUACUAUGUGUUGCUAACCAUCAGCCUUCAUCAUCCCAUGUAUCCAGAUUUUAAAGCUUCUCUGCUCAGCCAGCCAUCCUCCAUACACUUCAGCUCUUCAUUGUGGCUUCUCUUCCUCUCUUCUUAGCCUGCCAAAUGCAAACAGGAAUAAAGGUUCAUCUCCAUUGCCAUACCAUGAAAUUGAUAAUGUCAUUGUUAAUCCUGCUGCCAAAUCGUCUUCCCGUACGAGUCAUGCAGUUUUAGAUUCCUCAUGGAAUUUCCUUGCAACAUCCACCCAGGCUGAAAAGGACAUCCUACUAGUUGUGUGGACCAAACCUGCCUCGCCAUCCUCGCCGUCUUCGCCUCGCCGUCUUCGCCAUCCUCGCCGUCUUCGCCUCGCCGUCUUCGCC